rnacentral:piRNA from 1 species
UCCUUCUAGCGUCUGGCAGCUGGAGAAGU